AACGUAGGAGGCGAGCGUUAUCCGGAUUCACUGGGCGUAAAGCGCGCGUAGGCGGUUGGGUAAGUCGGACGUGAAAGCCCCUGGCUCAACUGGGGGAGGCCGUUCGAUACUGCCCGGCUUGAGGGUGAGAGAGGGAAGUGGAAUUCCCGGUGUAGCGGUGGAAUGCGUAGAGAUCGGGAGGAACACCAGUGGCGAAAGCGGCUUCCUGGCUCACUCCUGACGCUGAGAGCGCGAAAGCGUGGGGAGCAAACGGG
rnacentral:rRNA from 1 species